rnacentral:rRNA from 1 species
AGGACGCUUCCUUCGGGAAGCGAGCGUACACAGGUGCUGCAUGGCUGUCGUCAGCUCGUGUCGUGAGAUGUUGGGUUAAGUCCCGCAACGAGCGCAACCCUCGUGUUUAGUUGCUAACAGUUCGGCUGAGAACUCUAAACAGACUGCCUACGCAAGUAGGAGGAAGGUGAGGACGACGUCAAGUCAUCAUGGCCCUUACGGCCAGGGCUACACACGUGCUACAAUGGGGUAUACAAAGAGCAGCGAUACGGUGACGUGGAGCAAAUCUAGAAAAUGCCUCUCAGUUCGGAUUGUAGUCUGCAACUCGACUACAUGAAGUUGGAAUCGCUAGUAAUCGUAGAUCAGCAAUGCUACGGUGAAUACGUUCCCGGGUCUU